UCGGGUAUGGUGGAGCGGUAACAUGGUUGGCUCUCAUGGCUUUCGCGGCUCUGAGUUGCUCUCAACAGCCCGGGGUUCGACUCCCCGUAUCCGAG